rnacentral:lncRNA from 1 species
AGCCGCUGUAGCUUUACGACAGGGUAGUGAGCAACCCCAGCAAGCCUGCACCUUUAGUUCCUCUGAAGUUCAGCCUGGUUUCUGGCUGUGAGGCUGGAACUGGACCUGUGGAGCCUGCAGCGUUCCACCUGCUGGCUGGACCUGGGCUCCCUGACCUCCUGCGGGUUUGAACUCAGACACUGACACUGGAAGCCACGACAGAGCCGGCGCGAAGCUGUCCUGAGUUCUGAGUUCAGCAGUUCCUCGUUCGGCCCCUCUCCAAGAUGGCUGCUGGCCAGUUGCGCUCUCCUGAGGGACAUCAAGCCCCAGCAACUCACCGACCACUGGCCUGUUUCUCUGCUGAGGUCUCUGGGGUCGCCCUUCCCACGCAAAAUUUCAGUGCUUGCACGGUCUGCAGCAUGGUGGACAGGGCUGGACAGGGAAAAGCUCCUCAGCUGUCACUGACCGGAAGCAGAGCCUGAAGGGUGAAGCCAGGGAGGAGAUCGACCCUUCCGGGUCAUGGCCCCAGUGGCCCACCCCUUCCAACCAGACCCCACCUGCGGACACCAGGCCAGCUGUGACGUCCCCAUGAUCCAGUCACCCUCCACAGGCAAGGCCUCUGAGCACAGGAGGCUUUGGCUGGACAACCAGGUAGAAACCAUAACAGGAACUUGUGGGUUCACAUAAAUCCAGACUGUGCUGGAUGUUGUCUGUGGCUGGUUCUGAUCCUGGGAGUCUGUCCCUACGGGAAAAGUCGGGAGAUUCCAGUUUAGAGUCCAGAAGACUUGGGUGGCACAUCCUCCCCUCUUUCUCCAAACUCGACUCCCUCCUGAGACCUCACAAUGCCAGGAAUAUGUAGAUGAGAGCCAAUCACGUUGCCUUCACGGUGGUGGGUUGGAUGGGCUUGGUUUAUCAAUAAUAUUGGUGUGCUGUGAGGUUCCUGAAGAUUGACAGAGAGGCACCAUUAGGAAUGCUCCAUCAGUGGAAGAGGUCAGAACUUGAAUUUCCCUGCCCUGAUGUCCGGAGUUCACCUCGGAAGGCUUUAUAUAAGCAGAGAUACUAGC